UACGUAGGGGGCGAGCGUUGUCCGGAUUUAUUGGGCGUAAAGAGCGUGUAGGCGGUUCGGUAAGUCUGUCGUGAAAUCCUGAGGCUCAACCUCGGGCGUGCGAUGGAUACUGCCGGGCUAGAGGGUGGUAGAGGCGAGUGGAAUUCCCGGUGUAGCGGUGAAAUGCGCAGAUAUCGGGAGGAACACCAGUAGCGAAGGCGACUCGCUGGACAAGUAUUGACGCUGAGGUGCGAAAGCGUGGGGAGCAAACAGGG
rnacentral:rRNA from 1 species